CAGGUCAUCUUUAGGAUAAACAAUCAGUCUGAAUUUGUAGCAUCUCAUAAAACAAGAAAAGCAAGAAUAUCAAGAGUGGAGGAAGGGUUCAGGAUCAAAUGACCAGCAAGAUGGCAGAGUAGUUGCUUCCAGAAACCGUCAGAAAUCCCAAAAUCUCAGAGAAAAAAUUAUGUACCAGAUAUAGAGUAAUUUCAACUGAAUUUACAAGUUAAGAAGACAGAAACACCAUUCAAGGUAAAAACUUUAUGAAAUAUCAGCGGAGAACUUGAAUACUUAGAACUUUCACUCAGAAUCCCCCCCAUCCUUUUUCCCCUCUCCAGAAACUACUCCAUCUACACCAGGCCUAAGUGUACAAGCAAACUUCAGGGUUUUGACUUAGGAUUCAGAUGGUGGAAUCCUUGCUCAUUAUUUCCAUGAAAUGUAUUUAGCCUGAACUCUUUUGCCCCCAACCCUUCUUCCUUUUCAUUGCCAAACCCAUAUUGUAUAAGAGACAACAUCCAUUGGAUUUGCCUGAUUUGGUAAAUCCUUUAAGAAGGAAAAGAGAGUGAGGUAGAAGACAAAGACGAUGCAGGCAAUGCAAAUUAUAGCAGAGAGACAUAAGUUAGAGAGUAAAGAAUGACCAUGACUGAGGAAAGGGGAAUUAGAAAUUCAACUGGGUCAAGUCAUAUACUCCUGGAGAUUACUGAGUAGGGAUAUAAGCAUAACCCACCUCAUGUCCCUACAUACAAAGAGACUGGGGGGGAACCAGUAUGUUUAUUUUUUGGGUUCUGUGCAUCAGUGGAAUAUGGAAGGAUAAAUUGUAAGAGGGAGAGGCCAGAAACAAGUGGUUGGGAACAAAUGAGGAGUGUUGAACGUGCAGUUCCAUGGAAAAAAUAACUCAUAAAUAAAUAAACCAACAGAAUAUACUGAAAACAAAAGGAAGAAUGAAUAAAACCUCAAAAAGAAGCCAGAGCACAUGGAUCACUUAUUAUAAUAUUAAGGAGAACAAACCAAAAUUGUCCAAUGAAAAAGUAAUUCUGCAGACAAUCACUUAAUUCUUAUAACAGCAAGAAAUUCCCCAAAUUGCCUUAAAAGCAAAAUAAAACUUUUUUUUUUAAAUGAAGACCGUAGGAAUGAUUUUACAAAGGAAAUAAUAGCUCAAAGUAAAAUUCAAAAAAUGCAAAUAGUGGAGUGUGAAAAAUUAAAAGUAUAAAGAAAACUUUUUCCAAAGAAGAUUUAGAACACAUAAAAUACUGACGUGCAAAAUAUUGGGCAGAAGAGAAGCAAAAACCAGCAAUGCCAAAAUAAUACAUGACUUCUAUACAAAUUAAAAUAAUCAACUUUGAAGACAGUAAGCCUGCAGAUAACUUAUGAAUAUUAGUACUUCCAGACAGAUUAAAGAAAAAACAAAAUAAAACAAUAAACAAACCUGAACACCACAGUGUAGGAGACAAUACAAGAAAACUUCAAACUUUUGAAUAGAUAUGAAAUAACUGAUUAAUAGAAAUCACAGAUGAAAAAGAAAAAGAAAUACAUCAAAUUCUCAGGCAUGAAGUGCUUAAAUUUCAUUAUUUCAGUUAGAAACAUUUUGGAAGCAGCCAGGAUAAAGACUUUCAAAUAUAAAGGAAAGGCAAUUCAAAUAAUCCAGAAUCAUGGUGUAGUCAGAAGAAAUUAACAGCAAAGAAGAAAAUAACAUUUCCUAAAAUCAAGAUGCUCGAACUUCUACCUUAAAUAGCAUAAUGUAAAACCAAUGCUAGUCAACAAUGAAAAACUGGACUUUUAAGCCAGAAAGGCAUUUGCAGCAUUUCUGCUAAAAAAGGAGAAAAAAAGCAAAACAAAGAUGAGCAAAUAGCUCUGAAAUAACAGAAUUACAAGAAGCCAACUUUGAUUCUCAAUGAAAAGAUUUACUAUGGAAAUAAACUGAUUUUUAAUAAGCA